GUCCAGCAUGCAUCAGCUAUGUAGCCACGUGAUCAGUGUCCAGGGGCCAGCGGUGGGCGGGGCAGAGAAGCAUGACUGGCGAGUAUUAUCCAGGUUAAGAAAACUGGCUGGCUGUGCAGAAGUGAUUUGUGUCCUCCGCUGCAAGUUGGUGUAACUGGUCCACCCAGAACACGACUGUAAUCCUGAUAUAUUGAGGUCCUGUUUGCAGGAGGAAAUCCUAUGAAACUGUAUAAUUUGUGAUUUAACGAUGCCUCUAAAUGUAUGUUUGGGGUGAUAACUGUGUUUGUGGAGUAAAGCAUGUGUAUCUGUUGGUUUGAAAUAAACUUUAGUGAGUGGUGA